rnacentral:rRNA from 1 species
AUUGAGCGCUGGCGGCAGGCUUAACACAUGCAAGUCGAGCGGGGGAAGGUAGCUUGCUACCGGACCUAGCGGCGGACGGGUGAGUAAUGCUUAGGAAUCUGCCUAUUAGUGGGGGACAACAUCUCGAAAGGGAUGCUAAUACCGCAUACGUCCUACGGGAGAAAGCGGGGGAUCUUCGGACCUUGCGCUAAUAGAUGAGCCUAAGUCGGAUUAGCUAGUUGGUGGGGUAAAGGCCUACCAAGGCGACGAUCUGUAGCGGGUCUGAGAGGAUGAUCCGCCACACUGGGACUGAGACAAGGCCCAGACUCCUACGGGAGGCAGCAGUGGGGAAUAUUGGACAAUGGGGGGAACCCUGAUCUAGCCAUGCCGCGUGUGUGAAGAAGGCCUUAUGGUUGUAAAGCACUUUAAGUGAGGAGGAGGCUACUUUAGUUAAUACCUAGAGAUAGUGGACGUUACUCGCAGAAUAAGCACCGGCUAACUCUGUGCCAGCCGCCGCAGUAA